GAACGAGAAAGUGGAGCAAUCCAUGAGUAAAGUGGCGCACGGGUGAGUAACACGUGACUAACCUACCUUUUAGUGGGGGAUAACCUAGGGAAACCUGGGCUAAUACCGCAUAAUACUUACGAGUCAAAGCAGCAAUGCGCUGAAAGAGGGGGUCGCGGCCGAUUAGCUAGUUGGCGGGGUAAUGGCCCACCAAGGCAGUGAUCGGUAUCCGGCCUGAGAGGGCGCACGGACACACUGGAACUGAAACACGGUCCAGACUCCUACGGGAGGCAGCAGUGGGGAAUUUUGCGCAAUGGGGGAAACCCUGACGCAGCAACGCCGCGUGGGGGAUGAAGUCCCUUGGGACGUAAACUCCUUUCGAUCGGGACGAUAAUGACGGUACCGGAAGAAGAAGCCCCGGCUAACUUCGUGCCAGCAGCCGCGGUAAUACGAGGGGGGCAAGCGUUGUUCGGAAUUAUUGGGCGUAAAGGGUGCGUAGGUGGUUCGGCAAGUCUUGUGUGAAAUCUUCAGGCUCAACUUGAAGUCUGCACAAGAAACUGCCGGGCUUGAGUAUGGGAGAGGUGAGUGGAAUUUCCGGUGUAGCGGUGAAAUGCGUAGAUAUCGGAAGGAACACCUGUGGCGAAAGCGGCUCACUGGACCAUUACUGACACUGAGGCACGAAAGCUAGGGGA
rnacentral:rRNA from 1 species